rnacentral:rRNA from 1 species
UACGAAGGGUGCAAGCGUUGUUCGGAUUUAUUGGGCGUAAAGCGCGCGCAGGCGGAUAAUCAAGUCAGAUGUGAAAUCUCGGGGCCUAACCUCGAAACUGCGUCUGAAACUGUUUAUCUAGAAUCUCGGAGGGGAUAGGGGAAUUUCACGUGUAGGGGUAAAAUCCGUAGAGAUGUGAAGGAACACCCGUGGCGAAGGCGCCUAUCUGGCCGAGAAUUGACGCUGAGGCGCGAAAGCGUGGGGAGCAAAC